GCGGACGAGUGUUCCCGAUCUUUCUGGACUAUUCUGGCUGGUUUUGUGAGGGACGAGUUCUUCAGCUCAGCUGCGACCCGUACCACCGCCGCUACCGUGGGAAGGCUCUUGGU